rnacentral:pre_miRNA from 1 species
AUCGCCUCGGCAUUUUGUUAAAAUGCAGAUGCCAAUUCAGUAAGUCUGGGACAGGACCUGGGAUUCUGCAUUUCUAGCAAGUUCCCGGGGGAUGCUGA